rnacentral:ncRNA from 2 species
CCAAUACGGAUAGCGCCUGAUCUGGCAACAGAUGACGAGGAAAGAGUUGAUCGAAGUUUUCGGCGGAUGGCUCUAGGGACUGCACUCUACAAGCAAACACAAACCCACAUUGAAACAUGUGCACAAAAGUUUGCUACGCAGAUAG